rnacentral:lncRNA from 1 species
CCUAAUUAGAUACCAGUGAAUGCCAAAUCCCUUCUGUGGCUAGAGGCCCUUAAGUUUCAUGCUCUGUUGAGCUCCAUGAGACUGCGCAUUAUUAAACUUCAUCUUUGCCAGUCACCUGCGACAGUAACUUAUAGGCAAAUCAAGGAUGAGUUGCAAGAGCCUGUCUCUCUAUUCAGGUAGUAAUGCUUAUUGCCAUUCCAAAUGAACAUAAAGGAGAUGUCUCUGUUGUGGUAUCUUAAUAGAUCCUGUAGUUCCCAGACAUUUUGGUAACUGUUUGAUAUAAUUAUUGCAUCUCAUAAAAAAUAAAUUUUAUACAGUUAUACACUA